UGCAUAUCAAAUAAGCGGAGGAAAAGAAACUAACAAGGAUUCCCCUAGUAACUGCGAGUGAAGCGGGAAAAGCUCAAAUUUAAAAUCUGGCAGUUUCACUGUCCGAGUUGUAAUCUGGAGAAGCAUUUUCUGUGUCAGACCGUGUACAAGUCUCUUGGAAUAGAGCGUCAUAGAGGGUGAGAAUCCCGUCCAUGACACGAUCCCUGAUACUUUAUGAUAUGCUCUCGAAGAGUCGAGUUGUUUGGGAAUGCAGCUCAAAAUGGGUGGUAAAUUCCAUCUAAAGCUAAAUAUUGGCGAGAGACCGAUAGCGAACAAGUACCGUGAGGGAAAGAUGAAAAGCACUUUGGAAAGAGAGUUAAACAGUACGUGAAAUUGUUGAAAGGGAAACGCUUGAAGUCAGUCGCGUUUUCUGAGACUCAGCCUUGCAUUUUUGCUCGGUUUACUUCUCAGUCAACGGGUCAACAUCAAUUUUGGUUGAUGGAUAAAGGUAGAGGGAAUGUGGCAUUCUUCGGAGUGUGUUAUAGACUUCUAUUGCAUACAUUGACUGGGAUUGAGGACUGCAGCACGCCUUAAUUGGCCGGGGGCUUGCCCUACGUAACGUGCUUAGGAUGUGC
rnacentral:rRNA from 1 species